UACCAUUUAAAGCCGACGCUGGCUGCCAGGU
rnacentral:piRNA from 1 species